rnacentral:rRNA from 1 species
UACGUAGGGGGCAAGCGUUGUCCGGAUUUAUUGGGCGUAAAGAGCGUGUAGGCGGUUCGGUAGGUCCGUUGUGAAAACUCGAGCUCAACCUCGAGACGCCGAUGGAAACCCCCGAACUAGAGUCCGGAAGAGGAGAAUGGAAUUCCUGGUGUAGCGGUGAAAUGACGCAGAUAUCAGGAAGAACACCCGUGGCGGAAGGCGGCUCUCUGGGACGGUACUGACGCUGAGACGCGAAAGCGUGGGGAGCAAACAGG